rnacentral:rRNA from 1 species
UACGGGGGGAGCAAGCGUUGUUCGGAUUUACUGGGCGUAAAGGGCGCGUAGGCGGCCACCGCAAGUCAGUUGUGAAAGCUCUGGGCUUAACCCAGAAAGGUCAGCUGAUACUGCGGGGCUAGAGUGCAGAAGGGGCAACUGGGAUUCUCGGUGUAGCGGUGAAAUGCGUAGAUAUCGAGAGGAACACCUGCGGCGAAGGCGGGUUGCUGGGCUGACACUGACGCUGACAGCGCGAAAGCUAGGGGAGCGAACGGG